AUUGAACGCUGGCGGCAGGCCUAACACAUGCAAGUAGAACGAGUGGCGGACGGGUGAGUAAUGUCUGGGAAACUGCCUGAUGGAGGGGGAUAACUACUGGAAACGGUAGCUAAUACCGCCUACCAUCGGAUGUGCCCAGAUGGGAGUAGCUAGUAGGUGGGGUAAAGGCUCACCUAGGCGACGAUACCUAGCUGGUCUGAGAGGAUGACCAGCCACACUGGAACUGAGACACGGUCCAGACUCCUACGGGAGGCAGCAGGGGGGAAUAUUGCACAAUGGGCGCAAUCCUGAUGCAGCCAUGCCGCGUGUAUGAAGAAGGCCUUCGGGUUGUAAAUUACUUUCAGCGGGGAGGCUUUACCCGCAUAAGAAGCCCCGGCUAACUCCGUGCCAGCCGCCGCGGUAAUAC
rnacentral:rRNA from 1 species